CACAGGGAGCAUCUGGGGUGCAGUGGAGCUUGACAGGAAAGUCCUCUGUGUCUCCGUCCACACUUGGCACCCCCUGAGCGGGGUCCCCUGGGUCACCGUCCCCACAGCCAGUCCCAACAGGGGGAGGGGACCCCAGCCAGCUGUCACCCAAGCCAAAGGAAGGCCUUGCGCCGGAACAUGGCCGUGAACGGCUCCGAGAUGCGCUUGAACAGCUCCUGGAUGGCCGUGCUGUCGCCGAUGAAGGUCACGGCCAUCUUCAGGCCGCGGGGCGGGAUGUCGCACGCGGCCGUCUUCACGCUGUUGGGGAUCCACUCCACGAAGUAGCUGCUGUUCUUGUUCUGCACGUUCAGCAUCUGCUCGUCCACCUCCUUCAUGGACAUGCGGCCCCGGAAGACGGUGGCCACUGUCAGGUAGNNNNNNNNNNNNNNNNNNNNNNNNNNNNNNNNNNNNNNNNNNNNNNNNNNNNNNNNNNNNNNNNNNNNNNNNNNNNGUUCUUGGCAUCGAAGACCUGCUGGGUGAGCUCGGGCCCCUUGAGGGCGCGGUACUGCGGGCUUCCUCGGCUGGUGAGGGGCGCGAAGCCAGGGAUGAAGAAGUGGAGCCGCGGGAAGGGCACCAUGUUGACAGCCAGCUUGCGGAGGUCAGCACUGAGCUGGCCGGGGAAGCGCAGGCAGGUGGUGACGCCGCUCAUGGUGGCAGAGACGAGGUGGUUGAGGUCCCCCUAGGUGGGUGUGGUCAGCUUGAGGGUGCGGAAGCAGAUGUCGCACAGCGCCUCGUUGUCGAUGCAGUAGGUCUCGUCGGUGUUCUCCACCCGCUGGUGCACGGAGAGGUGGCGUUGUAGGGCUCGACCACGGUGUCGGACACUUUGGGCGAGGGCCCCAUGCGGAAGGUGUUCAUGAUGCGGUCGGGGUGCUCCUCGCGGAUCUUGCUGAUGAGCACGGUGCCCAUGCCGGAGCCUGUGCCGCCCCGCAGCGAGUGGCUCAGCUGGAAGCCCUGCAGGCAGUCGCAGCUCUCUGCCUCCCUCCGCACCACGUCCAGGACCGAGUCCACCAGCUCAGGCCCCUCUGUGUAGUGGCCCUUCGCCCAGUUGUUGCCUGCCCCGGACUGACCAAAAACAAAGUUGUCUAGUCUGAAGAUCUGGCCAAAAGGAUCAGAGUGAACAGAGUCCAUGGUCCCAGGUUCCAGAGCCACCAAAAUAGCACGAGGAACAUACUUGCCACCUGUGGCUUCAUUGUAGUACACGGAAAUUCGGUCCAGCUGCAGGUCACUGUCCCCGUGGUAGGUCCCGGUGGGGUCGAUGCCGUGCUCAUCGCUGAUCACCUCCCAGAACUUGGCACCCAUCUGGUUGCCACACUGACUGGCCUGGAUGUGCACGAUUUCCCUCAUGGUUAAAAUUAACUACUUUUGCUCGCCUCCAGAAAUGUACGGGGCAAGAAAAUAUGUGGGUUUUUUUCCUCUGCUGGUCGUGGGCUGGAAGGAUGGAACGUGCCCCGGACGCUGGAGCAGCAAGAUCCGAACGCGACAGCAGGAAGAUUCUGAGAGGGAUUCACUGGUAUUUUAAGACCCAGGGACUAGAUGUCAGGAAAUAGAAGCUGUCUGUCUAUCUAUCCUCUAUCUAUCUACCUUCUGCCUAACUGAUUUCCCCUUCUCUUCCCUUUUUCCUUUUACCUUUUCUCUCUGUAGGGCUUAAACUCAGGGCCUUCACACUGAGCUCUUUUUAAAUUUUCAUUCUGAG
rnacentral:lncRNA from 1 species